rnacentral:rRNA from 1 species
AGCGAACGCUGGCGGCGUGCUUAACACAUGCAAGUCGAACGAGAACGGAUUAUAGCUUGCUAUAAUUGUCAGCUAAGUGGCGCACGGGUGAGUAAUGUAUAGGUAAUAUGCCUCUUACUAAGGGAUAACAAAUGGAAACGUUUGCUAAUACCUUAUACUCCUUAUUAACAUAAGUUAAUAAGGGAAAGAUUUAUUGGUAAGAGAUUAGCCUGUAUUGUAUCAGUUAGUUGGUGGGGUAAUGGCUUACCAAGACUAUGACACAUAACUGGUUUGAGAGGAUGAUCAGUCACACUGGAACUGAGACACGGUCCAGACUCCUACGGGAGGCAGCAGUGGGGAAUAUUGCACAAUGGACGAAAGUCUGAUGCAGCAACGCCGCGUGGAGGAUGACACAUUUCGGUGCGUAAACUCCUUUUAUAUGAGGAGAUAAUGACGGUAUUAUAUGAAUAAGCACCGGCUAACUCCGUGCCAGCCGCCGCGGUAA